rnacentral:RNase_P_RNA from 1 species
CUUGCCGGAUGGGUAGCCGCCCCGCUUGCGGGGAGGAAAGUCCGGUCUCCAUAGGGCAACGUGCCGGCUAACGGCCGGGAGGGUCCGGUCAAACCGAACUCUACGGAAAGUGCCACAGAAAACAUACCGCCCUUCACAGGGUAAGGGUGAAAAGGUGCGGUAAGAGCGCACCGCGGCCGGAGCAAUCCGGCUGGCAGGGUAAACCCCACGCGGAGCAAGACCAAAUAGGGGAGGAGGAGCGGCCCGCUCCGUUUCACUCUCGGGUAGGUCGCUAGAGCCGGCCAGUAAUGGACGGCCCAGAGGAAUGGCUGCCGCCCGCAAGGGCACAGAAACCGGCUUAUAGUCCGGCAAGUUAC